rnacentral:misc_RNA from 1 species
CGGUGAACCGUACUUCCGUCUUUGGAAGCCCUUCCUAUCUUUCGUUCAAGUCGCCGCCGCCGCCGUCUUCCCCCCUCCCCUCAAGCACAACAACCGCGUUGGCCCACAAGCGGCCGACUCCAGCCCCUUUUUGUGGCGUGACGAAGCCUUUUCUGCAUCACCGAAGAGACGUAAUUUCAGCGGCUCCCGCGAUGUCGCCGAGACGCACCGGGGCAGUCGCGGUGAUGGAGCGCCGCAGUGAAUGGCUGGCUUCGUUGCGCUCCACGUUGCCUCAGUUUAGCAAGCGUUCCGCCGCGCCACUGGAGCGUGGGCAAGCCGCUGCCAUUCUCGGCUCUGCACCCCGACGCACUCUGGAAGAAGCCGUUAGCUCUCACAACACCACGUCCUCUUUGCUGUUGCCAUCCCAGUGGCGUGAGCAGGCCACGCAGCGGCUCAUCACCACCCUGCAUGGCAUCGUGCCGCCGCUGCAGGUGCAGCAGACAGAUUAUUUUCUCUGCUCCCUCAUCCACCCCUCCUAUGUGCAGGUGAGCACAAUGCGCUGUGAGAGUGACGCGUUGCGCAGAAGGGUGCAGCAAGAGCUUCGUCGGACUGUCUGCAUGCCGCUGGAGUUGACGAUGACUGGAUCCAAGAGUCUGCGCCUUCUGCGGGAGUUGACCCACUACGUCGAGCAAGGUGCGGCAGCUGCAGCCGCAUCCGCACGGGCGAGAGCAACUCUACCGGCUGCGCCAGUAGCUGAAAAAAGCGAGGAGCGAUAUCCGUCGUGUGGGCCGGCGUCGUGGUCGUCUUACCCUCUCGAUGCCUCGUGGCCAGAGCUGAACGGCGCAGACAGUACCGCAUUUGUGCAGGCGUUCCGGCGGGCUGGGCUCGAGUCCCUUGUGCUCUACGACAAGAGCUUCUUCGCUCCCUCUCCGACCUCUACGGAUAUCAAUGGCACCGGAUCUGCCGAGGUCUCCUUGGCCGCCUUCACCGCCCUGUGCGGCAGCAUUGAACUCGUCUCUGGGUGGUCCAGCUUGUUGCAGUUUGUGGACCGCGUGGCCGGCGAGCAGCGUGGCCUCGAACGCACUACUGACGACCACGAGUAGGAGGGUGGCUGUGCUGGUGCGCGUGCGGUGGUACCGUCGCUUCGGCGUCCGCUUUUGUCCCUCUCUCAUGCCGUUUGUUGUAUGCCAGGCUGGUUUCAUGCGCACCUUUCGCCGGCGGGGGUAGGAGAACGGACAGCAUGGCACAGAGGAGUCAUAUCGCUUCCACGGCCAACGGCAAUAAUGGUCGCAGGAAUGCGGCGGUGGGUGGACGCGCGCAUGCGACGCGGCGGCAGGACGCGGAUCAAGGAAUGAAAAGCAUUACGUGCGCUUGCAGCGGCAUGUUACACAUGCCCUGUGUGCUGCGGCUGCUCCAGUCAUGAGUUUACGAGGACAUGCGUGCUUCGGUGACGUUCCUGCGCGCUCUUCCGUAAGGCUGCAACCGUCUGCCUCUUUUCUUUCCCGCGUACGUGCACCCUCUCUCACACACACAGAGCCGCCCGGUCUUUCCUGUCUACACCUUUCUCUCUCACUUGUUGGCAUCUCAAC